rnacentral:rRNA from 1 species
AGCGAACGUUAGCGGCGGGCUUAACACAUGCAAGUCGAACGAGAAUGAGGGGGCAACUCCUCUAGUAAAGUGGCGGACGGGUGAGUAACACGUGGGCAAUCUACCUUCCAGCGGGGGACAACCGUCCGAAAGGAUGGCUAAUACCGCAUACGUCCGCGAGGGCUCUGGCUCUUGCGGGGAAAGUGGCCUCUACUUGUAAGCUGCUUCUGGAAGAUGAACCCGCGGCCCAUCAGCUAGUUGGUGAGGUAAUGGCUCACCAAGGCUAAGACGGGUAGCUGGUCUGAGAGGAUGAUCAGCCACACUGGGACUGAGACACGGCCCAGACUCCUACGGGUGGCAGG